GAAAAGGGAAAUAGACUGAAAUCACCAUACCAUCAAGGAGGGUUUAUGGAGUACCCUAUAUCUAUGAAUAGACCAAAAGCAGACCUCUACAGGAUGUCUGGGUGCAGCCUAGGGUGGGCCUUGGAAAACCAGCUCAACCCAGGAUCUCUUGAUUCUGCCCACUGGGAACUGCAGUGACAGCACCUGGCCUGGCUGGAGGAAGCAGUAACAGUAGGGAGCUUUAACAAGUUUGAAAAAAGUUCAACUUACUGCUGCUAUUAAAUGAAGACACAGGCAUAGUGGUUUCUUAUCCUGGCCAUACAGGAGACUCUGUUUGGGAGCACAGUUGACUGGACCAUGGAUUAGCACCUGCAUCAGAGAAGGGCAGCAACUGUCCCAACCAGUGAUCUGUGGGUGACGUGGCAUGAUGUGAGAACCUCAGGAAACAGAAUGUUCUGCAUCAGAGAGAGGAGACUGGACCUGGAAGAUCUCCUUAAAGGAUUCAAAGGUGAGACACACAAAUGGUAAACAACUCAGAAGCACAGAGACUCACAAAAUGAAAGCAAUUAGUAGACCCCAUAGGGUUGCCAAGACCACCACAUGCAAAAGCCAUUGAAAGAACGCAAAGUCACAGAGCAGUAGCAGGAGCAGUAGCUUUUAUGGAAGCUGAAAUAGAAAGUAGUGGAGCCAUUAGGAAAUUAAAGGAAAUUAAAACUUGACAUUUCUGAAGACUACAUGUGGGCUGGGUUGCUACGGUAAAGGUGUUGAGAUUUAUUUUCUUGUUAUUCUUCAAUUCAUACAGCAAAUGAACUUCAGCUAUAUUAAACUGGGCUUCUCACUCUUCCUCCAAUUUCAAAAAAUCUAGUACAGUUGAGAAAAUAUAAUAAAUUUAUAAGAUCACAGAAUUUCAGCUUUGCAAGAGAAUUUAGAGAUGUCUUACCAAAAUGUUUUUCUGUUGAUUUUUACCAUGAAGAAUUUCAAUGCAAGAGAGGAUAAAUAUCAAAAUCCUUGCUGUGCUCUACCAGCUGAUCAUACACUGUGAUCAUUACUUUGUAGGGCUACAAAUAUAUCUUCAGUAGUUGUUUCCUCUGGUCCCGGUACAAAAUAGGACCUCAAUAAAUGCUUUUUGAAUAGUGAGGCAGUGAAGUCUUAUGGCAUUUGAGUUUAGGUUUGCUUGCAGGAUUGGUUAGUUCUAAACAGUUAAAAUAAAGGGUAUGGUUAAAAAAAAAAAAAAAGAAGUAAGUUGUGUUUAACUCCCAGUAAUCUAUUUUGUUAACACUUUUUCUUCUGCACACCACACAUAACACUCUCAUACUCGUGUUCAAAUAAAGGAGUUAUUAGUCCUGUAAGCUGGUAAAGAGGUUU